GCGUUUCCGCCAACGCUGAAAACGCCGCGGCCGCUGAAGACUUUCUGGCGUAUUUCACCAGUGCGG
rnacentral:tRNA from 1 species